rnacentral:rRNA from 1 species
AUGGCACAGUGCAAGACCAAGGUGGUGGCAUUUUUCUAUUCUUCAACCACGGGGCAGUGGCAAUCCAUUGCAUCAAAGGCUUGGAGCGAUUUGUUACUCUGCGGCAUGCCAAUUGUAUCUUUGAAAUACCGUUUGUUCUACCGUAGUCAUUAUGCCUACGGAUGUUUGUACUGGCCGAUGACGAAUGGGAUAGAAUUUGGGCUGAAGAAUCGUCCGAGGGAAGCUAUGCUCAUGCUUGACACCAUGACAAUGGAGUUCUCCGUUGCUGAUUAUCCACCUGGAAGAUGGAGAGGGUUCCAGGUUGGCAUCGUGGAGGCAGGGGAAGGCAGGCUUGGAUUGCUCACUUUCUCAAUUAAUGACGCAGCAUCACAACUUCGUUAUAUGGUUAGGCAAAACACAGAUGGGAGUAACAAUGAGUGGCAGUUGGAGAAGAUAAUCCCCUUGGGUUCGGGCAAUCAUUCUAUUAUUGCUUCAACCGAGAGGUACUUGCUCCUCCUAAGGUUAGAUUUUGGGACAGACCACUCUGAAGGUCUCUCAUUAGAUGUCAAGACAUUUCAGCUUGAGAGGGUGUGUGAGCUAUCUGACGUUACAAGCAGGUCAAUAUAUACCAGCUUCCCUCCAUCAUUGUCAUCCAGGACAGUAUGA